UUAUUUAUUACCCCAGCGACCCAGCCACCGCGCACCUAUCUGCUCAUUUGCCACCGAAAAAUCCAGAGGAGGAACUGCAGGUAGAGCUCAUGGAGAACGCCAACCAAGUCCCAGAUCCGGUGGCCCUGCCUAGAGUCGCCUGCCCGGAUUGCGGGAGGAUAGUGGUGACGUUCGUGGCGAGGCGUGGUCAAUUCGCGGGGGAGCAUUUCUACAAGUGCCGCAAUCACAAUCCGGGCAGAGAUGGUUGCGACUUCCACCGGUGGCAAGAAGCAUACGCGGAACAUCUGGCUUCGCUUGGACCGGCGGCACCUCCAUUGGCACAAAUCAAUGCAGACGAGAACGAAAUUGGGGGAGCAAAUCAAGGUGGUCAUCUGCAGGCGGCGGAUGGCGAGGCCGGAAACCAGGGCGGAGGAUCGGAUGGGUCGCAGAUGUCGGCUGCAGGCGGUGCUGGAGGAUCUGUGCUUGAUGCGGCGGCAAGCGGCGCUGGAGGAUAUGUGCUUGGUGCGGCGGUGGUUGGCCGGCGUCCGGCUACUGUCGCACUGGACCCCGCAUCUAUCAAUCUGGUUGUUUCUGUGGGAAACAUGGUCAUUUGCAUCGCCAUCCUUGUACUGGUUGCAGCUUCAAGCAUGAUGCGUGUGUUUGAUUAGCGAUUAGGUGUGCUAAUCUUAGCUGGGUAUGGGUGCCCAGUAGAAGGCUUUAUAAUUAGCGGUAGCGGAGUUGCGUGUCAGGUCUAUGUUUAUGGCUUGGUCAGUUUUUGGGUGUGUGUUCGGGUUGGCUUGAUCAGCUUUUGGUUGUAUGUUCGGCUUGGACAGGCCAGUAUUAAUGAAAUGUCAGUACUUAAGCUAAUAAAAUCAGUGUGGAAAAAAACAAAUGGGUGAUGAAGUAACUCCGAUACGCAUGUACAACACGUGGCUGGACACUGUCCCGGUGUCCAUGCUACAAUGCGGGGGUAAAUGUGGUUGAAUUCGCGUGUGUAGCAUGGGACCGAGCGGACCGCGUCUUUUUGCUGAGCUACCUGUGAUUCUCAUCAAUCACAUUUUGCAGACGACAACGGUUGAAGCUGGCGCAUCAGCAGGCGGCACCAAGAGAGACGCAGAUCUGGUCUCACCAAGCGAUCCUGGAGGAGCGGAGGGCGGAGUUCUUGGUGUGCUUGUUGGCGGGCUUGCUCUAAGCUGGACUGAUGGAUGAAGAGGACGAAAAUCAUGGACCCGAAGGUGGAAGGCAGAUGGGAGGAGAAGAUCCGUUCGAUGGUGUUGAGUGGUCAUCAGAAGCUUCAGAGGAUCAGCCAGUGUUGACUUCACGGCUAUCAGUCAAGCAUGUUGUCGAGGUUAUCCAAAAGUUUGACGAUUACAAGAGGUGGCUUGUAUCCGAGAUUGGUUUUGAGGGGAUGCUGAAACUGCCAUUGUUGCAAAAGAUAGAUCUGAGGAUGAGUGCGUGGGUUAUGAGGAAGGUGGAGGUGAAAUCGCGUGUAAUUUCUAUUGAUAAAGACCGUUUGAUUUUGUUCACAGCAGAGGAUUUUCAUAAAAAAUUGGUGUUCCUUGUGGCAAUCGGGCUAUUCGUGGAAGGGAUGGUGAAAUCAGGAGUGCAGGAAUAGAGUUUAUUAAGCAGACAAUUGGAAUGAAUGGAUCAGCUACUAAUAAUCUUAAGGUUGCAGAAGACUUCACAAACAGGGAUAUUUCAGAAGAGUCGAGCAAGCUUGAGAAGGAUUGUUUUCAGAUAUCGUUUGUUAUUUUUGUCAUCGGCUACCUUUUGUCACCUGGCAUGAAGCAUGAGUACAAGAUGAUAGACUUUUAGGGUGCUGUGGCGAAUCAAGAGUUGAUAUCGCAAUUCAAUUGGUGUGAGUACGCUCUUCAGGAUCUGAUGGCAGCUGUGAUGAAGUUGAAGGUGGAGUAUAAGAACAAGGCGCAGAUAGUUCACUUAUUUGGAUGCCAUCUAUUCUUCCAGGUUUUCUUGCUGGACAACAUUGAUCUGGGGAUUUUCAACAUGGUGCAUACUGUAUUCCCUCGUAUUCAGUGUUUUGAUCAGAAAAGACUUAGGGAAAUGAUAGUGAUGGCGCGUUGUGAUCAGCGUGGUGUCGUAACUUAUGUCCCUGGAGCGGUGCGUCCUACAGAUUCGGUGUGUUAUACGCGUGUAGUUCUGGGGAGCCCACCAUGUGGAGUUGCUACAUCAAUUCCAUCAUCAUCGAAGCGACCAGUUGUUGGGUCCUUCGAGACACCAAAACGUGAAGCAAUGGUGGGCGGUGUAAGCGCCAACAAAAGCCCAGCAACUUCCCUGGGUGAUCCUAUGGAGAAUCGGUUUGUUGGUCUGAGUGAUUUCAGCAAGCAUCUUCGUCAGAUUUGCAAAGAUGAUUCGGUCUUGGAGGAGUUGAGCCUUAUGCUGAAACAACACAAUGUGAAGUGUACACUGAGUACGACAUUGCUGCGUAACCAAUUGCAGUCUAAUAUGUUUUGCUUUGCUGAGAAAAUGGUUGCAUUUGUGAAGGACCAAUGUAGAUGCUGUGCAAAAAAAGGGUUGUCCAAGUGUAUUACAAUUUGUGAAACUGGUAUUGCUCAAUGAUGUCUUCUUUCAGAUGUCAAUUUAUGUUGUGAUAAAACAAUAGAAGCUAUGUUUUCUGUUUGCUGUGUGGCGAAUGCUAGUUUUGUUGUAUAUAUUAUAUCAGAGCAGGUGGCGAUCGUCGGAGAGGAGUGAGUGAAGUGGGACGCAGGCUCGAGAUGUUUGAUGAUGAAGGUGCUAGCAAUGCGAAUGAUGAGGCUAAUGAGCAAAGAAUAAAAAGGAGCCGAAAUGUUAUAAACGAAAGCAGAAUGGACUUGCGAUAUAUGCACAAAAUAUCGUCGAGAUGGUUCAAUCCCUUCAUGAAAAUGAGUCACAGGAGGCAAAUGUUGUUUAUUUUAGUUCAACUGAAGCAAAGCUACCAAAGCGUAGGUAUGUUGCAUCUGCAAGUUUUUGCGGUGAUCCAUGGACACGGGGGUGUCUCCCGCAGCCGCCUCCAAUAGCAUUGACGAGCAAGUUCAAUUCAUGGAUAGCUGGAGGGAAUGAUUUUGACCGGGACAGUGUAUGGUUCCUGCACAUGGUUCCGAGACUUGUGAGGGUAAAUGCUGGAUGUGUCCAGCAGCAGAUGUUGGGGAUGAAUGCUCUUGAUCAUGAGGUCGUUACUCUUGUGUUGCGGAGGUUUUAUCAGCUUGACACUGCCGUGGAAGGAGCAAGCCCUUAGAUGUUGUGGAGGGAAGUUCUUGUGCCAGAUUUCUCGACACAUGUUCUUGCAGGGGAGAAAGUCCUGCAUAUCAAGGCUGUUCAGUGUCAGCUUGCAAACACGGUGCACGAUAUCACGGCUUGUAGGACGUUUUUUGUCCUUGUUAUUCUUGAUCAAGGUUGGGCUGCAUAUAUGUGGGACAUGCUGAGGAAGGAGAUUCAUGUCCUUGAUCCUAUGUGCCGCGAAGUUGAAGGUGCGGAGCAACGCCAUAUGAUGCAUCAGGAGGCAGUAUCGCAGAUUCACAAUGUAUUGUUCUGCUACUUGAAUGAGUUUUUUGCAAAGUGGCAUUGCACAUCUGAAAGAUGGAGAUGGAAGUUUCCGAGGAUUACUGCUGAUGUUUUCAACAGGGAGGAGUCUAGAAUUUGUAUGACCCAUGCAAUCAGGCAGUAUGAUGGGGACAAGAUGAAGUGGCCACUCACCAAGGUAAAUCUAUUGUCUGCUUUUUUGUCAUUAUUUGGAAAAAUGUAUUUGUUUUCUAUGUUUCAGUAGUUAGAUGCUCGACUGCUGGUUGACCGUGAGAAAUGCAGAAAAAUAUUGCAAUCUUUCGGAAGUUGGUUGCAUUUGAGGUCUUCCGUUUAUGUGAUGACCAUGGGAAGUUCAUUGCGGAGAGUGUUCUGCGCGUCGCAUUUGAUGAACCUGAGGGGUGAUGCAUAUGAAAUGGAUGUAUGGUCCGGAUGCUUUUUAGCAGCAUGCGAGGGGGUCGACUAAGUUGACAUGGGGAGUGAAGAAAAUGUGAGGACUUGCUGAAAUAAUGUAUUCAUUUAUGUAUGGCAGUUAUGAUGCAUGUCGUAUUAAGUACUAAGAUCGGAACUUUUUUAUAAUGCCUUGUUAGAAUCGGGCACCUCAACAGAUGCUUAAAUGUGAUGGGAAAAUGGAUUGAAAUUGCAAGGCUAACACAAUCGGAAUGGUCGAUGAUGGUUUAUAUUUGUGGUAGGAGUGGUUCCUUAUUUCUCGUGGCCUCAUUGUUAGUGUUGAAAUGAUUUUUUUCGAGAUUAUCCGGUGUGGGUACAUAUGGUGAUGGAAUUUCGAAGGUAUAGUGUGAGCGUUGGUUGACAGUGGUAGCAAGAGUUGCAUUAGGUGAGAUGGAGGUGCAUGGCGCCCCUCAUCAUUUUGAUGAUGGAAAAUCAUUUUUUGUUCGUAAUUAUUGUAGUGAGUGAGACAAAUUAACUAUUUCAGAAAGUGAGACAAAUUUAUUGGAAGUGAGUGUUAAAUGCUUACGAAACAGGGGUAUGAAACUCAUUGAGACCAAAAUUUGUAUUGUUUGCACAUAUUCUUGAGGUGAUAGAAAGUUUUCUUUGGUAGUGCAUUGGAGUUCUUUUUUUGUUUGUCUCAGGUGGGUUUCCGUGGAUUUUGACAUGUUAGGAGAGGUGGGAGUAGACUGGAUUUGAUAUGGGAGGAGUGUAUUAGGAACAGUCCUGUAGGAUUGGAGUAUCGUCAAAGAAUUAGAUAUGGACAGGGGUGUGUGGAAGCUUGCUAUCCAGGCGACAGAGCCUUGAGUUGGUCGUGUGGAAGCUUGCUAUCCAGGCGACAGAGCCUUGAGUUGGUCGCGAGAUCCUAUGAGUUUCACAUGUAGACUACCGCAAUUUGUUUCGGGUCUAAAAGCUUUGUUGUUCUUUGUUGUUGUUAGGUGGGUUUAAGUGGAACGAUGUGUAUUUUGGUGUUUCUUUUUGCGCAUUAUCAUAAUGAUGGCAAUGUUUAUCUUUGAAUAAAUGGUCAAUUUUCGUUUGUUGAGGGUGGUUUGGAUGAUUGUUAGGGAUGUGGCUUGUUUUGUUUGACAUGAAUUUAUGUGUUCCUCUAGAAGUGUUGCAUUAACCAAAUAGUUGUUUUUCGUACGGGUUUGUACUACAGGGGAAGAAAAGCACUGGUGGUAAUUCAAUGGAAAUGUGAAAAGGAUUUGAAUAUUAUGCUGCUUGAGUUGAUGUGGGUUGUUUGUUAUAUGUGGUCAUGCAGUCUGUGUUUCAGUGUACAUUUUUGCAAGCAUAAGAGAGCUUGUAGCAAUGAGGCAUUUGAUUAUUACAUUGUAAAAUGUGUUUAGCUGCAGUUGCUAAAUUUUUAGAACUUGAGAAUAUAAGUCAUACAUUCAAGCUUAUGAUAAAUGCAGGUCAAGCACACAUUUGCAGUUAAACACGUGAUGAGCUACUUGAGAGAAUGCAAAGCGAGCACUAGUAGACUUAGGUCUGACAUAAUUGACAUAACACAGUAAUUGUCUAGGAAAGAGACCACAGAGAAGUGCAUGACAUAGGUGGGAUAAUAGUUUUUGCCAUGCAACUUUGAUUGAAUUUAAACACAUUAAGGUGUGCCAUGCAUAUUGGUCACACUGACCAAGACCUAUAUGGUCUUCAGACUGAAGAAGGAUGGCUGGAUGCUAGCUCGGGUGUCUUGUGCACUUGUAGUAGUGGUACGGUGAUUCCUUGUACUUGUAGGAAAUAGAGGUUCAUUGCAUAGCGCGCCCGUAGAUAUCGCUCUGGAUGUGUGCUAUGUUGCCCUCUAUGUGGAGAACUUCGUAUGCCAUAUGCAUCCUCAUGUAUGCAAUUAAAGCCUGUACGCAGGACAAGUUAUAUGUUAUGAUUGUAUGUCAGUAUAUCAUCGUGAGUCGUAAUUUCGAGAUGUGAUAACUUACUAGGGUUGGCUUUAUCAUCAGCUUGUCACCAUCAAAUUCCUUGAUGUAAUGGAGUACAUAGAAGCCACUGUUAGAUCUGCAUCAUUUUAUAGGUAGCAAAGCAUAAGUGACGGUUAAAGAAUAAGCAUUUGCUAAAUUAUUGAAAGACAACAACUUUUGGUGGAUAAACUCACGUAGUGCAAUUUUCAUGCAUGUUGUACUUGUAUUUGCAUGACCAUGAUGAAGUAUGAAAUUUCCACUCUGGAUAACAUCCGUUCAGGCAGUUGAACAGGCAGCGCAGAAUGCGUUUGCUUAUUUCUCCAUGCUUUGCCUCCAUUGUACCUUUGUGGGAGUUUGUCAACAUGGGAUCCAUUACAAGCAGAGUUUUGGCCUUGAUGUCUACCUCAUAAAGGCACCAUCCCCCAUCGACAAGUAGUAUAAUCUGAAACUGUUUUUUUGUGAAAGAAGGGCAAUUAAGUUAAUUUUCCAUACAUUUUUUAAAUGCACAAGGAAUGGUAAAAGCAGGAUAGAAUGUUGAUGGUUUUUUGGUCGACUUACUUUCUUGGAAUACUGCAUGUUGUAUUUUAGGUUCUUCCUACUAAACAUCCAGUAUACUUGUUGCAUUUGAUCUGCCUUGCUACUGGAAAGGACCUGAUCCUAUAAAAAUCAUAUAUAGAUGGACAUCAAGCACAAUUCAAGAGUUAUUUCUGAUGUUUUCAAGCAUAAGGGUAAUCCUUUUCUUUCAUUUUUUGUGAUUCAAGUUAUGCAUUUUUUGUACCGCAAAUGUUUGAUCUAAUAUUGUCCUGUAUCGCGAACUUCCUUCUAGAUAGAGCUUGCUUUCUUUCAUGUGAAGAACUCGUACUGAUACAGACAUGCCAUCACUCUUGAGCCCUCAUCCGACACCAAAGUUCUUCAUUAUGGAAUGCCCAGUCAAAACCACAGAGUAGGGGUGAGGGUGUGAAACCAUUUUCCUGCAGCAAUACUGUAUCAUGUUUAGUUUGGAGAGGAAGAAUCAAAAGUUUUAUUGAAGAUGAUGUAAGGGGAAUGGUCAGAUGGGAUUGAUGACCUGCGAAGUUCACGUGAGUCCCACUUUUGUAUUUCAUCGUAGUAGUUGUACAGAACACAGGGAUCGGGUUCAUCUUUUGAUAUCCUUGCAAACACUGGAGUUGGAACUUCUGGUUCAUUUCGAUUUGAUGCAACAACUGCUGCAGCAGCUAGCAUGUCCCAGUUGUUGUUUCCGGCUGGGAAUACAGGGUUGUGUAGCAAUGCUGAUAGGUAUGCUUAAGAAGAUAAAUAUGCAAGCUAUGGAAGAGAUUAACAAAUCUUGAAAUGAUGGGGGCACAUGGAUGGUGGUACCUGACACUAUGUCCAUACUCCCGCUUGAUAGCACAUGGUAUAUGUUGGGAUUAUUGGAGCCUGCCGCAACUGCAUUUUUAAUAUAUGGGGUGGUGAGAGUUGUGAAUUUAAAGUUUAAAUGUAGCUGCUUGGAGUUUAGACUGCUUGAUUUGUGUAAGCGUAGUUUCUUUCAAAAACUGAAGUGUUGUUUACCUGUUGCCAGCAAGUCCAUGGCAGAGGAGUCAGGAGCUUGACUGGAUGUUGGACUUGUAUCCCAUUUUGGACGUGUGACUGUUUUGGAAGUAACAUAUUAUAGAAAAUCAGGUAACAAAGAGUGCGGGACAUAAUCAGUGACACUAUGAGUUGAAAUAUGUAUAGUCUAUAUGUUUGCUGUGUGAGACAUGAUCAUACCCGGAGGAGUAUUUGAGUUUUGCAGAACAAAAGGAGUUGUACUUGAUAAAACAUGUGCCUUAUUGGUUGUUGUACUUGUGGUACACUUGAAUGGUUUGCCAGCUUUGCAGACAGGGAAAUAAAAAGCUAAUUAUAAUC